UACUCCUACGGGAGGCAGCAGUGGGGAAUUUUGGACAAUGGGGGAAACCCUGAUCCAGCCAUGCCGCGUGUAUGAUGAAGGCCUUUCGGGUUGUAAAGUACUUUUGGCAGAGAAGAAAAAGGUAUCACCCUAAUACGGGGAUACAUGCUGACGGUAUCUGCAGAAUAAGCACCGGCUAACUACGUGCCAGCAGCCGCGGUAAUAC
rnacentral:rRNA from 1 species